rnacentral:rRNA from 1 species
AUUGCCUUAGUAGCGGCGAGUGAAGCGGCAAAAGCUCAAAUUUGAAAUCUGGCGCCUUCGGUGUCCGAGUUGUAAUUUGAAGAUUGUAACCUUGGGGUUGGCUCUUGUCUAUGUUUCUUGGAACAGGACGUCACAGAGGGUGAGAAUCCCGUGCGAUGAGAUGCCCAAUCCUAUGUAAGGUGCUUUCGAAGAGUCGAGUUGUUUGGGAAUGCAGCUCUAAGUGGGUGGUAAAUUCCAUCUAAAGCUAAAUAUUGGCGAGAGACCGAUAGCGAACAAGUACAGUGAUGGAAAGAUGAAAAGAACUUUGAAAAGAGAGUGAAAAAGUACGUGAAAUUGUUGAAAGGGAAGGGUUUGAGAUCAGACUCGAUAUUUUGUGAGCCUUGCCUUCGUGGCGGGGUGACCCGCAGCUUAUCGGGCCAGCAUCGGUUUGGGCGGUAGGAUAAUGGCGUAGGAAUGUGACUUUGCUUCGGUGAAGUGUUAUAGCCUGCGUUGAUGCUGCCUGCCUAGACCGAGGACUGCGAUUUUAUCAAGGAUGCUG